UUUAAGGUCUAAUUUGCCCAAUGAGGUUUUAAAUGGCCGCGGUUUUUUGACCGUGCAAAGGUAGCAUAAUAAUUAGUUUUUUAAUUGAAAGCUGGGAUGAACGAUUGAACGAGAGAGUUUCUGUCUCAUUUUAAUUUAAUUAGAAUUUUAUUUUUAAGUAAGAAAGCUUAAAUUUUUUUAWAAGACGAGAAGACCCUAUAGAGUUUUAUAUUUGAAUUUAUAUUAAUUUAAUAGUAUUUUUAUWUUGUUAUAAUUUUAAGUAUUUUAUUGGGGCGAUAGAAAAAUUGAUUGAACUUUUUUUUUUAUUUAACAUUAAUUUAUGUUUAAUUGAGCCAAUAUUUUUGAUUAUAAGAUUAAAUUACCUUAGGGAUAACAGCGUAAUUUUUUUUAGAGUUCUUAUCGAAUAAAGGGAUUGCGACCUCGAUGUUGRAUUAAAAUUAAUGUUUGGKGUAGGGGCUAAAUAAUUAGGUCUGUUCGACYUUUCAAAUUUUACA
rnacentral:rRNA from 1 species